rnacentral:rRNA from 1 species
AAUGAACGUUGGCGGCGUGGAUUAGGCAUGCAAGUCGAGCGGGUGUAGUAAUACAUCAGCGGCGAAAGGGAGAGUAACGCGUAGUUACGUGCCCCGAGGUCCAGAAUAGCUACGGGAAACUGUAGGUAAUGCUGGAUGAUAUCUCCGGAUCAGAGGUAUGAUUCCGCCUCGGGAGCGGACUGCGUCCUACUAGCUAGUUGGCGGGGUAAUGGCCCACCAAGGCGACGAUGGGUAGCGGGUGUGAGAGCAUGACCCGUCUCACUGGGACUGAGACACUGCCCAGACACCUACGGGUGGCUGCAGUCGAGAAUCUUCGGCAAUGAGCGCAAGCUUGACCGAGCGACGCCGCGUGCGGGAUGAAGGCCUUCGGGUUGUAAACCGCUUUCGGUUGGGAGGAAAUCGCUAGGGGUUCUCCCCUAGUGUUGACCUAUCUUCGGAAGAAGGACGGGCUAAGUUCGUGCCAGCCGCCGCAGUAAGAC